rnacentral:rRNA from 1 species
AGGGUGCAAGCGUUAUCCGGAUUCACUGGGUUUAAAGGGUGCGUAGGCGGGCAGGUAAGUCCGUGGUGAAAUCUCUGAGCUUAACUCAGAAACUGCCAUGGAUACUAUUUGUCUUGAAUAUUGUGGAGGUAAGCGGAAUAUGUCAUGUAGCGGUGAAAUGCUUAGAUAUGACAUAGAACACCAAUUGCGAAGGCAGCUUACUACACAGUAAUUGACGCUGAGGCACGAAAGCGUGGGGAUCAAACAGG